AGUGAACGCUGGCGGUAGGCCUAACACAUGCAAGUCGAACGGCAGCACAGCAAGAGCUUGCUCUUACGGGUGGCGAGUGGCGGACGGGUGAGGAAUACAUCGGAAUCUACUUUUUCGUGGGGGACAACGUAGGGAAACUUACGCUAAUACCGCAUACGACCUACGGGUGAAAGCAGGGGAUCUUCGGACCUUGCGCGAUUGAAUGAGCCGAUGUCGGAUUAGCUAGUUGGCGGGGUAAAGGCCCACCAAGGCGACGAUCCGUAGCUGGUCUGAGAGGAUGAUCAGCCACACUGGAACUGAGACACGGUCCAGACUCCUACGGGAGGCAGCAGUGGGGAAUAUUGGACAAUGGGCGCAAGCCUGAUCCAGCCAUACCGCGUGAGUGAAGAAGGCCUUCGGGUUGUAAAGCCCUUUUGUUGGGAAAGAAAAGCAGCAGGUUAAUACCCCGCUGUUCUGACGGUACCCAAAGAAUAAGCACCGGCUAACUUCGUG
rnacentral:rRNA from 1 species